CGAACGGGGUAGAGAGCUUCGGUUUUCACUUAGUGGCGAACGGGUGAGUAACGCGUGAGGAACCUGCCUCUCAGAGGGGGACAACAGUUGGAAACGACUGCUAAUACCGCAUAACGCGUAGAGGUCGCAUGGCCUUUAGCCAAAGAUUUAUCGCUGAAAGAUGGCCUCGCGUCUGAUUAGCUAGUUGGUGAGGUAACGGCCCACCAAGGCGACGAUCAGUAGCCGAUUUGAGAGGAUGAACGGCCACAUUGGGACUGAGACACGGCCCAAACUCCUACGGGAGGCAGCAGUGGGGAAUCUUCCGCAAUGGGCGCAAGCCUGACGGAGCAACGCCGCGUGAGUGAAGAAGGUUUUCGGAUCGUAAAGCUCUGUUGAGAGGGACGAGAGAUAUAAUCAGGAAAUGGGUUAUAGAGGACGGUACCUUUCGAGGAAGCCACGGCUAACUACGUG
rnacentral:rRNA from 1 species